rnacentral:rRNA from 1 species
GAUGAACGCUGGCGGCGUGCCUAAUACAUGCAAGUCGAGCGAACAGACGAGGAGCUUGCUCCUCUGACGUUAGCGGCGGACGGGUGAGUAACACGUGGAUAACCUACCUAUAAGACUGGGAUAACUUCGGGAAACCGGAGCUAAUACCGGAUAAUAUAUUGAACCGCAUGGUUCAAUAGUGAAAGACGGUUUUGCUGUCACUUAUAGAUGGAUCCGCGCCGCAUUAGCUAGUUUGUAAGGUAACAGCUUACCAAGGCAACGAUGCGUAGCCGACCUGAGAGGGUGAUCGGCCACACUGGAACUGAGACACGGUCCAGACUCCUACGGGAGGCAGCAGUAGGGAAUCUUCCGCAAUGGGCGAAAGCCUGACGGAGCAACGCCGCGUGAGUGAUGAAGGUCUUCGGAUCGUAAAACUCUGUUAUUAGGGAAGAACAAAUGUGUAAGUAACUAUGCACGUCUUGACGGUACCUAAUCAGAAAGCCACGGCUAACUACGUG